GGGGUUUGAUUAUGGCUCAGAUUGAACGCUGGCGGGAUGCUUACACAUGCAAGUCGAACGGCAGCACGGACUUCGGUCUGGUGGCGAGUGCGAACGGGUGAGUAAUGUAUCGGAACGUGCCUAGUAGCGGGGAUAAUCUACAGCGUAGCGCAUACCGCAUACGCCCUUCGGGGGAAAGCGGGGACCUUCGGGCCUCGCACUAUUGAUGGCCGAUAUCGGAUUGUUAAUGGUGGGGUAACGGCUCACCAAGGCGACGAUCCGUGGCUGGUUUGAGGUGGACGACCAGCCACACUGGGACUGGAGACACGGUCAGACUCCGCUGUGGCGGCGGCGGCGGGGAAUUUUGGACAAUGGGGAAACCCUGAUCCAGCCAUCCUGGGCGUGUGCGAUACACCAAGGUGUACACCUUUGGCAGGAAAGAAACGGCACGAUAACACCUGCAACCGACGGUACCUGCAGAAUAAGCACCGGCUAAUCUGAUGCCAGCAGCGCGGUAACAUGUAGGCGGGGCAAGCACCUGGAAUUAUUGGGCGGAAGCGUGCAGGUGUCUGAAAGAAAGAUGGGAAAUCCCAGAGCUUAACUUUGGAACUGCAUUUAACUACCGAGCCAGGAGUGUAUUGAGGGAGGUGGAAUUCGCGUAGCAGCAGGGCGUAGAUAUGCGGAGGAACACGGAUGGCGAAGGAAACACAACACUGACGCUCGGUGCACGAAAGCGUGGGGAGCAAACAGAUUAGAUAAUCGGUAAAUCACGCUCCUAAACGAUGUCAACUAGCUGUUGGGGCCUCGCCUUGAACAGCAGCUAUCGCGAAGUUGAUCAGUCUGGGGAGGAUGGCUUUAAGAUUAAAACUCAAAGGAAUUGAUGUGGACCGCACGAAGCGGUGGAUGAUGUGGAUUACCUGAUGCAACGCAAAAAACCUUACCUACCCUUGACAUGUUCGGGAAUCCCGAAGAUUUGGGGAGGCUCGCAAGUGAGAAUCCAACACAGGUGCUGUACGGCUGUCGUCAGCUUCGCCAGGAGAUGUUGGGUUAAGUCCUUUAACGAGCGCAACCUUGUCAUUAGUUGCUACGAAAGGGCACUUGACUGAGACUGCCGGUGACAAACCGAGGAAGGUGGGAUGACGUCAAGUCCUCAUGGCCCUUAUGGGUAGGGCUUCACUGCCAUACAAUGGUCGGGACAGAGGGUCGCCAACCCGCGAGGGGGAGCCAAUCCAGAAACCCGAUCGUAGUCCGGAUCGCAGUCUGCACCCGACUGCGUGAAGUCGGAAUCGCUAGUAAUCGCGGAUCAGCAUGUCAGUGGUGACAUGCCCUGGUCUUGUACACCAGCCGCUUCACCCGGGAGCGGGUUUUACUAGAAGUAGUUAGCCUAACCGCAAGGAGGCGAUUACCACGGUAGGAUUCAUGACUGGGGUAUCGUAACAAGGGUAACU
rnacentral:rRNA from 1 species